CAGAAUGUAGCUAAAUAAGUAAAGCAUCUCACUUACACCGAGAAGACAUCCAUGCAAUUCGGAUCAUCCUGA
rnacentral:tRNA from 1 species